GCGGCAGGAACCACUCCAAGGACUUCAUAGAGAUAAGCUCAACGCAUCCCCCAUGAACCUUCAAGAUACCAAUUCUCCUGCUGUGGAGACUGAAGCAGAGGACUGGGAACUCACCUGAGAUCCCACCACAGGUGGAGCAGCAAAGCCAGAGAGCAAGACCCAGGGUCGAGAUUCUGUUUGGUGAGUGACCAAAAGUGGUGGCAUUGGAAAAGGUUGCUGAGUUUGGAGCCUGAGAACUUGGAUCUCUGCUGCUGGAAAGGAAAAUGUUUGGACAUGCUCAUCUGCAUUCAGGCCAUGGACGCUAUGUGAGCAGCUAGCUGCCUUACACUCCUACUGCCAUGACUGCCCCACUGUGAUGGACUGCGCACCCUCUAACUGUGAGUCGGAAUAAACCCUCCCUUCCUUCUAUUGCUUUUGUCAGAGCAAUAAAACACGUACUUAGUACAGCCUGGGAGGUUGACAUGUCCCAGGAAUGUA